rnacentral:rRNA from 1 species
GACGAACGCUGGCGGCGCGCUUAACACAUGCCAGUCGAACGGAAAGGCCUGCUUUCCCUUGUGGAUUGCGGGUACUCGAGUGGCGAACGGGUGAGUAACACGUGAGUGAUCUGCCCCCAACUUGGGUAUAAGCCUGGGAAACUGGGUCUAAUUCCCGAUAGGACUGCAGGGUGGUGCCUGUGGUGGAAAACGAUUUUCUAGUGGUUGGGGAUGAGCUCGCGGCCUAUCAGCUUGUUGGUGGGGUAAUGGCCUACCAAGGCGGCGACGGGUAGCCGGCCUGAGAGGGUGGACGGCCACAUUGGGACUGAGAUACGGCCCAGACUCCUACGGGAGGCAGCAGUGGGGAAUAUGGCACAAUGGGCGGAAGCCUGAUGCAGCGACGCCGCGUGGGGGAUGACGGCCUUCGGGUGGUAAACUCCUUUCGACCGCGAGGAAGCCACCUGGUUGGAAGGGUGGUGACGGUAGUGGUAGAAGAAGCACCGGCUAACUACGUG